rnacentral:lncRNA from 1 species
CCUGAGCCUGAGAUAAGGGUACUGAUACUAGGGUACUGGAUGGAAACUCAUGAACAUGAUCAUACAUUUGUGAAGCUCCUACCUCAACUCUCGGGGCAAAAGAUACUGAAUAAGAUGAUGUUCUAUAAGAUUGACCAUCCUUACUAACUCCUCUUGAUCUAUCCUGACCUCGACCUCAAUCUCUACCUGAGGAUAGUUGCCCUCCACCAG